UAAAAGAUAACAGCAUGACUUUUAAGUUUUGUUUGAAAUAGUAAUCACAUUCACAUCCUCUAACAGACUGUAGAACUGGGUAACAACUGGUGUCAUUCAGCAAUUACACAUUUGAUUGAUCAAAAUCACAUGUGGAGUUCCCCACAUGUCCUUUCUCAGGCCUCUACAUGCUCCCACUACUUAGUUUAUGGAAAACAACGAAAUCUGCCAACAGCUGAGUCCUCCCUGUGAGGAGGAGUCAAUGCAAAACUCAGAUGUCUUCCACCUCUACUUAUCUGACUGCAGAGAGGAGGACAGAGGACAGUGGACACACAGUUUAACAUGAUGGACUAUAGGACAGGACUGCUGCUUUUAACCAUCUGCUGCUGGACAGGUGUUGAUGGUCAGACUCUGACAGAAUCUGAACCAGUGAUUAAAAGACCUGGAGAAUCCCACAGACUGACCUGUACAGCCUCUGGGUUUGAUUUUAGUAGCUACUGGAUGGCCUGGAUCAGACAGGCUCCUGGAAAAGGACUGGAGUGGAUUUCAAUUAUCGAAUAUGACAGUGAUCGCAUCUACUACUCCCAGUCAGUUCAGGGCCGGUUCACCAUCUCCAGAGACAACAACAGACAGCAGCUGUAUCUGCAGAUGAACAGUCUGAGGACUGAAGACUCUGCUGUUUAUUAUUGUGCUCGAGACCCACAGUGA